AAAUGCGAUAAGUAAUGUGAAUUGCAGAAUUCAGUGAAUCAUCGAAUCUUUGAACGCACAUUGUGCUCGCCAGUAUUCUGGCGAGCAUGCCUGUUCGAGCGUCAUUUCAACCAUCAAGCUCUGCUUGCGUUGGGGAUACGCGGCUGCCCGCGGUCCCUCAAAAACAGUGGCGGGCUCGCUAGUCACACCGAGCGUAGUAACUCUACAUCGCUAUGGUCGUGCGGCGGGUUCUUGCCGUAAAACCCCCAACUUCUAAGGUUGACCUCGGAUCAGGUAGGAAUACCCGCUGAACUUAAGC
rnacentral:misc_RNA from 1 species